rnacentral:rRNA from 2 species
CAAGUCUGAUGGAGCAACGCCGCGUGAGUGAAGAAGGCUUUCGGGUCGUAAAACUCUGUUGUUGGAGAAGAAUGGUCGGCAGAGUAACUGUUGUCGGCGUGACGGUAUCCAACCAGAAAGCCACGGCUAACUACGUGCCAGCAGCCGCGGUAAUACGUAGGUGGCAAGCGUUAUCCGGAUUUAUUGGGCGUAAAGCGAGCGCAGGCGGUUUUUUAAGUCUGAUGUGAAAGCCCUCGGCUUAACCGAGGAAGUGCAUCGGAAACUGGGAAACUUGAGUGCAGAAGAGGACAGUGGAACUCCAUGUGUAGCGGUGAAAUGCGUAGAUAUAUGGAAGAACACCAGUGGCGAAGGCGGCUGUCUGGUCUGUAACUGACGCUGAGGCUCGAAAGCAUGGGUAGCGAACAGGAUUAGAUACCCUGGUAGUCCAUGCCGUAAACGAUGAAUGCUAGGUGCUGGAGGGUUUCCGCCCUUCAGUGCUGCAGCUAACGCAUUAAGCAUUCCGCCUGGGGAGUACGACCGCAAGGUUGAAACUCAAAGGAAUUGACGGGGGCCCGCACAAGCGGUGGAGCAUGUGGUUUAAUUCGAAGCAACGCGAAGAACCUUACCAGUCUUGACAUCUUU